rnacentral:rRNA from 1 species
UACGAAGGGCGCUAGCGUUGUUCGGAAUCACUGGGCGUAAAGCGCACGUAGGCGGCUGUGUCAGUCAGGGGUGAAAUCCCGGAGCUCAACUUCGGAACUGCCUUUGAUACAGCACGUCUUGAGUCCGAUAGAGGUGGGUGGAAUUCCUAGUGUAGAGGUGAAAUUCGUAGAUAUUAGGAAGAACACCGGUGGCGAAGGCGGCCCACUGGAUCGGUACUGACGCUGAGGUGCGAAAGCGUGGGGAGCAAACAGG